UGCCACACCGCCACGUGAACGGGCUCUAC
rnacentral:piRNA from 1 species